ensembl:snoRNA U3 Small nucleolar RNA U3
AAGACUAGACUUUCAGGGAUCAUUGCUAUAGUUUGUUACUAGAGAAGUUUCUCUGACUGUUUAGAGUACCAGAAGCCACGAGGAGGAGAUGGAACAUUCUCCCCUGAGUGUGAAGCCAGCUCUUGAUGUUGCUUCUCUGCAACUGCCAUUUGUCACUGAUCAUUCUCUCUUUGAGGAGAGUGGUGGGAGAGGAUGCAGUCUGAGC